rnacentral:rRNA from 1 species
UGGCCGCGCAAGUCCAUCGGGAAAUCCACCCGCCCAACGGGUGGCCGUCCGGUGGAAACUGCACGGCUUGGGACCGGAAGGCGCGACGGGUACGUCCAGGGUAGGAGUGAAAUCCCGUAAUCCUGGACGGACCGCCGAUGGCGAAAGCACGUCGCGAGAACGGAUCCGACAGUGAGGGACGAAAGCCAGGGUCUCGAACCGGAUUAGAUACCCGGGUAGUCCUGGCCGUAAACACUGCCUGCUAGGUGUGGCUCCCACUACGAGUGGGUGCUGUGCCGUAGGGAAGCCGCUAAGCAGGCCGCCUGGGAA